rnacentral:rRNA from 1 species
AUGCCUGUGUUUAAGCACUGGAAGGAUUACAAGGACCCAAAUGGAAAUGUCAGAGAUGGGAUCUUCAGGAACUUUGUAGGAGAAGUUGGUAACAAGUUUCAGAUGGACCUAGAGGCGGUGCCAGUUAGGAAGGCUUGCACAAAAAUGCUGAAACGCGCAACUCGCCAACAACGAUACAUGCUCAAGAAAGAGUAUUUUGAUCCUCACGCAUCCAAUUUGGUGAGGAGAACUUCUCUGGUCCCCUUGAUGACUGAUGACUAG